UAUCUAUAGAUAAUUACUAUUACUAUAGUGGAUAUAUACUAUACAUAUUUUAUAUGUAUACGUUAAUAAUUAACAUGACUAAAAAUUAAAACCAACUACGAACCUUUUUUUUAUUUUCGAAGAAAACCGAAACUACCAAGAAAUUUGAAACAAAUGCAUAGAAAAAAAUUCCAUGGGGAGCAUAUAAGACCCCCCACCCCGUGAGCACGUCCCUAUACCUAAUCAAAAUUAUGGAACAUUAAGCCCUCCUCCAAAAAAAUAUUUGAAUUAUUCGCACCUAUAAGUAGCCAUUAAAAUAUCAACUUAAAUCACUAUUUGACUAGCGUAUAAAUAUAAUUAGAAGAAAAAAAAUCGUACAUGUUUCUUACGGUGGAAAUUUAAUUUUUGUACAAGAUGAUCCACUUGAG